AAGACUAUUUUCAGGGUCGUUUCUAUCGUUUUUUUUCUUGAAAAUUGUGAUUCUAAAGUGAGUGGUCUCGCUAUCCACGAUUACGACUUUUGAUACUUUUCUGAGCGCGAAGCGGGCAGAGGUUGACGAGUAAAUGUUUCUGAUCACUGCUUUUGAUGACCGUUCCAUGUCUUCUCUGGGGAUAUGGAGGAAGGGUGUAUGAUCAGAGAGGU
rnacentral:snoRNA from 1 species